rnacentral:lncRNA from 1 species
UGGUAGGCUCCUUGGUGGUAGUUGGAGUAGAGACCUCUGAAGUGGUUGGAGGAGGUGUCUCAGGAGUAGUUGGAGCAGGCUUCUUGGGGGUAGUGGGUGCAGGCUCCUUGGGGGUAGUUGGAGCAGUCUCCUUAGGGGUAGUUGGAGCAGGCUCCUUAGGGGUAGUUGGAGCAGGCUCCUUAGGGGUAGUUGGAGCAGGCUCCUUAGGGGUGUUGGGAGCCGCUGCCUUGG